GAAAAAGGCUGCCUGGCAGCUGACUCCUCUGGGAAUCCCUGCUAAAAUGAAAUGUAUAUUUCAUUAGAUCUUCCCAGGGUACAAAAUUUUAAGUAAACAUACAUUUUAAAUGAGUAAGCAAUGUCUAAUGGGAAACUGUGUAUGGAGCUUUACUUUUAGAUAUAUAUACUCCUCUUUCAGAUUGGGGAAUUACACACAUAACCACGAAUAGAGAAUAUGCUAGUUAAUUCUUAAUAUCCCUCUAAACACUCCUUUGCAAGCUAAAUCAGUAAACACUAUAGCAAGGAUGUUCUCUGCAUAAGGCUCAAUUUCACUGAAGUCAAGUCGAAGUUCUGUCAUAGGAGAGUGUUUUAUUGACAUAUAAAAUCUGCAAUGGAUCUGGCUGGGUAUUCCCAGAGACUUUAUUUUAAUUGGAAUUCCCUGCAGUGGCAUGAAGAUCAAACGUUUCCUGAAGUGUGGUAGAAGGCAGGAAGAAUGACACUUGCUAAUUUGAAUUUCAGAAAGCACCUAAACUUCAUUCUGAUCUCCAGACUUCAUCACCCACAAAUUUUCAGAUGCCCAUCAUUAAAAAACUCCCUUGAUUUCUCUGGAAGCCAAACAGAAGAUCAGAGUUUUUCCCAUGUGGAGCAAUUUCUGGACUGCUGCUUCUUCUGGAAUCCAUAGCCCUUUCUGUGAACAGUUAAUGAGCUGAGACACCAGAGAAGAGUGAGUUUGUGUUCUAAAUGAUGGCUCUGAUUUGCAUGCAAGAGCAUUUAAAUGAAAAAUACUGAUGAAAGCACACAUAUUUUCCACUGAAAGCUUCUUUAUUUUAUAUUCAUGCUUCAGAGAACAUAACUCUCACUAUGGAAUAUUUGCAUAAUGUGAAUGCUGGAAUGUGUGCAAAAUGUGAAUAC
rnacentral:lncRNA from 1 species